GGAAGGAUCAUUAACAAAUCCUGCUGCAGUGCCCUCCCGGGUGCUGUAGUAUAUUAACUCGGUCCAGGUCGCAAGGCUUGGGCUGAUAAAUUAAUGUGUGUGUAAUGUUGACAAUGUGUGUGUGAUUAAUUAGUAGACAACUUUUAACAAUGGAUCUCUAGGCUCUUGCAGCGAUGAAGAACGCAGUAAAGUGCGAAAAGUGAUGCGAUUUGCACGAAUCUGUGAGUCAUCUAGUUUUUGAACGCAAAUGGCACUCUUGUGUAAGCAGGAGUAUGUCUGUUUGAGAAUCCCAAAACCGAUCAACACCUGUGGGGGUUGGCACUGGCGUUCCGUGCAGCAAUGUGCGGUUUGCUUGAAAUUAUUCAGGUUGAUGGGCUCCGGCUGAGCUCCAAAUGUGCUAAAAGACUGUGGUCUUUCGUCAUUUGGCUGCGCAGUUGCAAGGCUCUACUCAACAACCUUAAUUUUAUCUAUUAGGAUCUCAAAUCAGGCAAGAUUACCCGCUGAACUUAAGCAUAUCAAUAAGCGGAGGAAAAGAAACUAACAAGGAUUCCCUCAGUAGCAGCGAGUGAAGCGGGAAUAGCUCAAAUUUAAAAUCUGGCGUAACAGCCCGAGUUGUAAACUAAAGAGGCGCUAUCGGACAUGAUCUGGCUGCACAAGUCUCCUGGAAUGGAGCAUCACAGAGGGUGAGAAUCCCGUCUGGGCAGCUGGCGCGUGGCCAUAUGAGGCGUCCUCAAAGAGUCGAGUUGUUUGGGAUUGCAGCUCAAAAUGGGUGGUAAAUUUCAUCUAAGGCUAAAUAAUGGCAAGAGACCGAUAGCAAACAAGUACCGUGAGGGAAAGAUGAAAAGCACCUUGAAAAGGGAGUUAAAAGCGCGUGAAAUUGUUAAAAGGGAAACAAUUGAAGCCAGUAGGGCCAAGUUUGUUCAGCGGUACCCGCGGAGCAGUGUUGUGAUGAGAGUGUGUGAAUCGUCUCUAGCAAUAUGCGCAAGUGGACUGCCGUGUAUUCAGGCUUGGUUGGUCAGUCCCGAUUUGGGCUGCCGGAAAAGGACUUGGGGAAGGUGGACAUUCGCUUCGGCGCUUGUCUUUAUAGACCCUCGUAGAUACGGUGGACCAGAUCGGAAACGACAGUAGCUAAAAGACUCUGUAGAUCUGCGGCCGUGGACCUGCAAGACUCAAUUGAGACUCGCGGGGCAUCUGGCUGGGAGAAGCGGGGUAGUAUGCUGCAGUGAGUGCUGACGUAAUGGCUUUAAAUGUCCCGUCUUGAAACACGGACCAAGGAGUCUAACAUAUAUGCGAGUAUUUGGGUGGCAAACCCUUAUGCGAAAUGAAAGUGAGUACGAGUGGGAUCCCGCAAGGGCGCACCAUUGACCGAUCUUGAUAUCUCUUGAUAGAUUCGCGUUAGAGCAUAUCUGUUGGGACCCGAAAGAUGGUGAACUAUGCCUGGAUAGGAUGAAGCCAGAGGAAACUCUGGUGGAGGUCCGAAGCCGUUCUGACGUGCAAAUCGAUGGUCAAAUCUGGGUAUAGGGGCGAAAGACUAAUCGAACCAUCUAGUAGCUGGUUCCCUC
rnacentral:misc_RNA from 1 species